rnacentral:tRNA from 1 species
CGGGGUAUAGUGUAACGGUAGCAUACAUCCUUUGGGAGGAUGCGGUUGCAGUUCAAAUCUGCAUACCCCGA